UACGUAGGGGGCGAGCGUUACCCGGAUUCACUGGGCGUAAAGCGGGUGUAGGCGGCUCGGUAAGUCGGGUGUGAAAUCCCACAGCUCAACUGUGGAAUUGCGCCCGAAACUGCUGAGCUUGGGGCCGGUAGAGGGAGACGGAACUGCCGGUGUAGGGGUGAAAUCCGUAGAUAUCGGCAGGAACGCCGGUGGGGAAGCCGGUCUCCUGGGCCGUUCCUGACGCUGAGGCCCGAAAGCUAGGGGAGCAAACCGG
rnacentral:rRNA from 1 species